GAUGAACGCUGGCGGCGUGCCUAAUACAUGCAAGUCGAACGCUGGAGAUCUAGCUUGCUAGAUCGAAGGAGUGGCGAACGGGUGAGUAAUACAUAAGCAACCUACCCACGAAGACUGGGAUAAUCUCUGGAAACGGGGACUAAUACCGGAUAGGUAAUCGGAAGGCAUCUUCUGGUUAUUAAAGGUUAAAAACACUGGUGGAUGGGCUUAUGGCGCAUUAGUUAGUUGGUGAGGUAACGGCCCACCAAGACGAUGAUGCGUAGCCGGCCUGAGAGGGUGAACGGCCACAUUAGGACUGAGACACGGCCCAGACUCCUACGGGAGGCAGCAGUAGGGAAUUUUCGGCAAUGGGGGCAACCCUGACCGAGCAACGCCGCGUGAGUGAAGACGGCCUUCGGGUUGUAAAGCUCUGUUGUAAGGGAAGAACGGUAGAUAGAGAAUAUCUAAGUGACGGUACCUUACCAGAAAGCCACGGCUAACUACGUG
rnacentral:rRNA from 1 species